UUACAGGCCGAUUCUUUUUGAGUAGGUCAAGAUGCAGAGAGUGGUGUUCUUCCCAGGGAAGGUAAGUGUUGUGUUCCGCAGGGGACCACUCGGAUUUCUCAGACAGGACCCGUCUGUAGAAGCUAGACGGAUUAAGGAUGACCCCACUCGGCAGGACAAGUCUGCUCCUAUGAGGGAGGACCUCGUGCGGCAGAAUGCUCUGGCUGUGGUCCGUCAGAGAGGGGGGGAUGCCUCAGACAGGACGGAGGUGCUAGGAGACUACAUCCUGCAGUUUGGAAAGUAUAAAGGGAAGGCUUUCAGGUGGCUUUUGGAGAAUGAUAUAGGCUACACAUCUUAUCUUAUCAAGAAUCUCCGUAAGGAGGAGGCUGCAGGUAUCUGUAGGGCCGAGGGGCAUAGCAAGGAUAGCCUACUGUCGUUUGUGAAUUUUGCUCUCAGUUUUUCAGAGAUCCAGUCUCUUCUCGCCUAUGAGGCCAGUGGAGUGGGAGUUGUGGCAGCCUCAUCAGAAGAUGACCAGCUGGUUGGCUUUGGGACCCGGGCUAAGAGCACCUGGAAGGAGACAUGGGACAGCAGAUCUGAUGGCUACGCAGCCUUCAUCAUGGGGAAGAGCUGCGUCCCAGGGACACGUAUGUACAAGCUGCAGCAGUACCUACGGAAGAGGCAGCAAUCCGCCUCUGCUUCCACACCUGCUGAGCCUGCCUCAAGAGCCCAAGCUAAACCCCUGAUGAUGGAUGAGGAUGAAGAACUGGAGAGGGCGAUGUUGAGCAUCUCACCCUCUAAGCUACAACUGCAGAGCUUUGCUGUACCAGUAGCAGCAGCAACAGCAACAGCAGCAGCUGCCAUACCAGGAGUGUCACCAGGAGCAAAGACAG
ensembl:lncRNA